rnacentral:rRNA from 1 species
GACGAACGCUGGCGGCGUGCUUAACACAUGCAAGUCGAACGGAAAGGCCCUGCUUUUGUGGGGUGCUCGAGUGGCGAACGGGUGAGUAACACGUGAGUAACCUGCCCUUGACUUUGGGAUAACUUCAGGAAACUGGGGCUAAUACCGGAUAGGAGCUCCUGCUGCAUGGUGGGGUUUGGAAAGUUUCGGCGGUUGGGGAUGGACUCGCGGCUUAUCAGCUUGUUGGUGGGGUAGUGGCUUACCAAGGCUUUGACGGGUAGCCGGCCUGAGAGGGUGACCGGCCACAUUGGGAAUGAGAUACGGCCCAGACUCCUACGGGAGGCAGCAGUGGGGAAUAUUGCACAAUGGGCGGAAGCCUGAUGCAGCAACGCCGCGUGCGGGAUGACGGCCUUCGGGUUGUAAACCGCUUUCGCCUGUGACGAAGCGUGAGUGACGGUAAUGGGUAAAGAAGCACCGGCUAACUACGU